GCCCCUUUCGUCUAGCCCGGCCUAGGACACCUCGCUUUCACUGAGGCGACCAGGGUUCGAAUCCCUGAAGGGGCGCCA
rnacentral:tRNA from 1 species